rnacentral:rRNA from 1 species
CUGGCGGCGUGCCUAAUACAUGCAAGUCGAGCGGACGGAUGGGAGCUUGCUCCCUGAAGUCAGCGGCGGACGGGUGAGUAACACGUGGGCAACCUGCCUGUAAGACUGGGAUAACUUCGGGAAACCGGAGCUAAUACCGGAUAAUGCAUUUCCCCUCAUGGGGAUAUGCUGAAAGAUGGUUUCGGCUAUCACUUACAGAUGGGCCCGCGGCGCAUUAGCUAGUUGGUGAGGUAACGGCUCACCAAGGCAACGAUGCGUAGCCGACCUGAGAGGGUGAUCGGCCACACUGGGACUGAGACACGGCCCAGACUCCUACGGGAGGCAGCAGUAGGGAAUCUUCCGCAAUGGACGAAAGUCUGACGGAGCAACGCCGCGUGAGUGAUGAAGGUUUUCGGAUCGUAAAACUCUGUUGUCAGGGAAGAACAAGUGCCGGAGUAACUGCCGGCACCUUGACGGUACCUGACCAGAAAGCCACGGCUAACUACGUGCCAGCAGCCGCGGUAAUACGUAGGUGGCAAGCGUUGUCCGGAAUUAUUGGGCGUAAAGCGCGCGCAGGCGGUCUCUUAAGUCUGAUGUGAAAGCCCACGGCUCAACCGUGGAGGGUCAUUGGAAACUGGGGGACUUGAGUGCAGAAGAGGAAAGUGGAAUUCCACGUGUAGCGGUGAAAUGCGUAGAGAUGUGGAGGAACACCAGUGGCGAAGGCGACUUUCUGGUCUGUAACUGACGCUGAGGCGCGAAGCGUGGGGAGCAAACAGGAUU